rnacentral:lncRNA from 1 species
UUGAAUCAGUUUGCCAACAUGGUUUGGUCAAACUUUGCAUGACAUUGCUUAGGUGCUUGUUUUAGUCGAUAAAGUGACUUAACAAGUUUACACACCUUAUUUUAUUUUCCUGGAACCACAAAACCUUCAGGUUGUUCCAUGUAAAUUUCUUCCUCCAAUCUCCAUUUAGGAAUACGGUCUUCACAUUCAUUUGAUGGAUUUGAAGAUCAUAUACCGCCGCCAAGGUAAUUAAUAUUCGAAUCGAGGUUAUCCUUGUUACUGGCGAGUAUGUAUCAAAGUAAUCAAGGCCUUCUUUCUGUUUAAAGCCUUUUCCUACAAGUCUUGCCUUGUAUUUGUCAAUAGUACCAUCCACCUUCAUUUUCCUUUUGAAGCUCCAUUUAGAACCUAAAGGUUUAUUUUCGAGAGGAAAGUCAACCAAUUCCCAUGUAUGGUUGCUUAAGAUUGAAUCUAUCUCACCAUUGACUGCCUCUUUUCAAAAGAACGAGUCUGACAAUGACAUCGCUUUUUUAAAUAUUUGAGGCUCAUUUUCUAAGAGAAAUAUUACGAAAUCCGAUCCAAAUGAAAUUGACAUUCUUUGACGUGUACUCCGUCUUGGAUUUUCUUUAUUAUGUACAUUCUCACUUGGUUCAUCUCGAGGUCGUUUAGAUCCUCCACUACACUGUUCAUGUCUAAUUUUACACGGGUAAAUAUUUUCAAAGAAUUUAGCAUUGUUUGAUUCAAUUACCGUAUUUUCAUUAAUAUCCGGAUGUUCGGAUUUAUGAACCAAAAAUCGACAUGCUUUAUUACUUUUAGCAUAUCUUAUGAACAUGCAGGCCACCGUUUUAGGUCUUAUCUUAACCCUUUUAGGUAUACAAACUUAAACCUUUGCUAGACACCCCCACACUUUGAAAUAUUUCAAGUUGGGUUUCCUUCAUUUCCAUUUUUCGUAAGGAUUGAUUGUCUUACUCUGGGGAACUCUAUUAAGUAUACGAUUGGCCGUAAGGAUAGCCUCCCCCCAUAGGUUUUACAGUAAACCAGAACUUAUAAGUAAGGCAUUCAUUAUUUCCUUCAAAGUUAGGUUAUUCCUUACCGCAAUUCCAUUAGAUUGAGGUGAAUAUGGGGCCGUAGUUUGAUGGAUGAUUCCAUUCUCUACACAUAUUUGUGCAAAGGGAGAUUCAUAUUCUCCGCCCCUAUCACUUCUUAUCAUUUUGGUCUUUUUGUCUAACUGAUUUUCAACUUGAACCUUCGCUAGACACCCCCACACUUUGAAAUAUUUCAAGUUGGGUUUCCUUCCUUUCUAUUUUUCGUAAGGAAUUGAUUGUGUUUUACUAUGGGAAACUCUAUUAAGUAUACGAUUGGCCGUACGGAUAGCCUCCCCCAUAAGUUGUGCAUUAAACUAGAACUUAUAAGUAAGGCAUUCAUUAUUUCCUUCAAAGUUUAGUUUUUCCUUUAAGCAAUUCCAUUAGAUUGAGGUGAAUAUGAGGCCUUAGUUUGAUGGAUUAUUCUAUUCUCUACACAUAUUUGUGCAAAGGGAGAUUCAUAUUCUCCGCUCCUAUUACUUCUUAUCAUUUUGAUCUUUUUGUCUAACUGAUUUUCAACUUUAGUUUUAUUUUGCCUAAACGCAUCUAUUGCUUUAUCCUUACUAUUUAGCAAGUAGACAUAACAAUAUCUAGUGCAAUCGUCAGUAAAAGUUAUGAAAUACUUUUUCCCACCACGUGAUGGUGUUGACUUCAUAUCACAAAUGUUAGUGUGUAUUAAGUCUAAGGGAUUGAAAUUCCUUUCAACGGACUUAUAAGAAUGUUUUGCAUACUUUGAUUCCACACACGUUUGACACUUUGAUUUAUUGCACCCAAAGUUUGGCAAAACUUCUAAGUUAAUCAGUUUUCGUAACGUUUUGUAAUUAACAUGGCCUAAACGUUCAUACCAUAAAUCAUAAGACUCAAGCAAAUAAGAAGAAUUUGAACUUUUAUUUAUUUCAACAGUCAUUACAUUUAUCUUAUAAAGGCCUUCGGUCAGAUAGAUUUCUCCUUUGCUAAUUACAAUUUUUCCAAAAACGGUUACACAUUCGAAUCCGUUUUUAUCUAGGAGUGAAAUAUAAAUUAAAUUCCUACGUAACUUCGGAACAUACAACACAUUGUUUAGUGUCAAGACCUUGUCGGAAGUCAUCUUUAAGCAAAUUUUUUCUGUUCCCUCCACCUUAGCAGCAGCGGAGUUAGCCAUGUAGAUUAUUUCUUCUACUUAAGCUGGAGCAAAUGACGAAAACAACUCCUUGUUGGCACAUACAUGGCGGGUGGCAUCAGAAUCCAUUACCAUUUGCGAGGAUUCCCUACCAAGUUGCAUUCUGAGAAUAUAGCACACAAAUCAUCGCAUUCUUUGUUGGAUUUAAUCAUAUUUGCUGAAUCCUUUUUCUUGCCUUUCUUCAGGGCUCAACAAUCUGUGGACUUGUGGCCAAUUUUGCCACAAUUGAAGUAUUUUCCCUUAAACUUUUUCUUGGGUUGAUUGCUUCCAUGUUCAACUUGCUUUCUUUUCUUCGAAUUCUUUUGGUCAUCUUCUACAAUAUGUGCUUCAUUAAUUGUAGAAUUUCCCUUUGACCUUCUUUCGGCAGCUUUAUUGUCCUCUUCAAUACGGAGUUGGAUGAUAAGAUCUUCAAUGGUCAUCUCCUUGCGUUUAUGCUUUAAGUAGUUUUUGAAGUCUUUCCACAAUGGUGGUAGCUUCUCAACUAUCGCUGCUACUUGGAAAGCAUCAUUCACAAUUAAACCUACAAAACAAUUUAUGUGAGUAUUAAGAAUAUUUUUAAUUUGUUCAACUACGGUAUUUUUCAAAAAUAUACCUUCUGCUAGGAGAUCAUAUAUGAUAACUUGCAACUCUUGUACUUGAGAGACAACAGAUUUGCUAUCUAUCAUUUUGAAAUCCAGGAACCGUGCAACAAGGAAUUUCUUAAUUCCCACAUCCUCCGUUUUAUAUUUCCGUUCAAGUGCCCCCCACAGUUCUUUUGAUGUCUUGGUUCCACUAUAGACAUUGUAGAGGUCGUCUUGGAGACCACUCAGAAUAUAAUUCCUGCAAAGGAAGUCCGAAUGUUUCCAAGCUUCUACAAUAAUGAAGCGAUCUUUGUCCGAGGUUCUCUCGGGCACCUCAGGAGCGUUUCGCUAGUGAACCAUUGCAGACAUAAAGUGGUGAGGUAAAACAACAUCUUUUGCUGUCACCGCUUGAAGUCAAUGCCUGAAAUUUUUUGGGCUUCUCCGCCGGUGCCAUCGUUGGCGGAGCAUUUGUGCGGCUUGAUGAAGCAAUAUUGUUUGCCCCCACAGUCGUAGCCACAUCAUGCAUUUGACAUUCAGUUGUCAUUUUUCCUAUCACCACAAGACAGAAAACUUAGUAUUUUUUCAGAAUACUAUUUAUAAAAUUAAAUAACUUGAAACUCUUUUUCUUGUUUCUAGUUAACGAUGAAGUUUUUAUUACUUCGAAUCGUCAACCGAGUGAACCUUAACUUGUGAUGAAGAUUUUAUGUCUUCUAAUCACUAGUUAAAUUCAAGCGGAGUAGAAAGCUUAAGCUUUAAUCUCCAAAAACAAGCAAUACAGAUUCUGUAGAUUAUUUCCUUAAGAUUGCUAUUUACACAAUAUAGUCGGCUAUGCAGAAUCUGUAUAGCAGAAAAACAACUUAAUCUAGUUCAAGUUUAUAAACAAGAACACAAUGAAGUAUAUCAAUACCCACAACACAAGAUCAAAAUGAUCUUUCCAAGAGGUGUAUUUAUUUUUCAUAAAUAAUAGAUGAAGUAGAAAUGAAUAAGGCCAAGUUUUCCGAAUUCACGGAGUUUUCUUAAGGAAAUAAUUCCCCUCACUGUACCCGAGGUUGUAAAUUUUUCCUCCCAGGAUAAAAUGGCCUUCAAUCCGACUAUAGCGGUACCUCAAAUAGACGAAUUCUACGAACGCAUUAAACGAUUUAAUGAUCACACAGAGUAUUUGAAGACAAGAAGAAUGUUUUGUAAUCUGAAAAUUUCUGUACCAAAACCUGUGGAUGAAACCAGGUUUAUAUAGACAUAAUAUGCCUCUUCAGAUAGGUGGCAUUGGUUCAAUUUAAAGGUAUGUGUCUUUUCUGAAAAUGCAUGUCUGUUUACUUAAAAUAGUGCAUCAUUUUGCUAAAACAGUACAUACCAGUUCGUGUGAAACAUUUGUCCUUUCAUUGAAACAUUGCAUCAGUUUGCUGAAACAAUGCAUCAGUUCACUGGAACAAUGCAUCUGUUUACGAAAACAGUGCAUAUGUUCAUCAAAAAUAGUGCAUCUGUUCGCAAAACAGUGCAACGAUUCAUGGAAAUAGUGUAUUUGUUCAUGGAACAAUUACAUCAGUUCAGUUCGAAGUUACUAUUACUGCGUGCAUGUCUAUAAAUUAGAGUAUCAAACACAGGAAAAAUAUUUACUGUGUUAUUCAUUUUACCCUUUGGCAUUUUUUUGAAUUUCAAAUAAAAUUUGUCCAAAAAGAUAGAUCUCAUCGAUCAAUCAUUUGACAAAUCCAAAUCCAAAUCCAAAUCCAAAGCCAAAGCCGAAGCCAAGCCGAGAGAGUGACAACGACGACGGCGCGAAGCAUCUCUAUUUUCUUCCCUCACUUAUCAUGUGGAGUAAGUGUCCAUUAAUAUAAACACUACAAAGUUCUCUUCUUCCACCAAUGUGGUAGAAAGAGUAAACUUUCCAAUUUGGAGUACACUUUGUAAAUUGAGUGUCUCCUUUCCUCCACCUUUUUCCACUCCAUUUUCCAUUCACACUUUCUUUAUUUACUAUGAACCCAACAGAUGGAUCAUCAAGGAGAAAUUUGGCCCUAGUUCAGCAAUUUUAUGUUAUUUCCCACAAUAUAGUUGGAUAUGCAGAAUCUGUAUAUUACAACACCAACUUCAAUUUAAGUUCAAGUAUAAAUAAGAACACAAUGAAGUAUAUUAAAUACCCUCAACAUAAGAUCAAAAUGACCUUUCCAAGAGGUGUAUUUUAUUUUGCAGAAAUUAAGAUAAAACAAAAAACAGUCAAGUCAUCCGAAUUCACGAAUUUUCCUUAAGGAAAUAAUCCCCCUCACUGUACCCGAGGUUGUGGAAUUUUUCCUCCCAGGAUAUAAUGGAUAACAGACUAACAGUAGCAGUACCUCAAAUGGUUGGAAUAUCUUCGAACUCACAGAAUGUUUUGAGUGAUCACACAAAAUAUUUUUGAGACAAGAAGAGAGUUUUUGAUCUGAAAUUUUUGUAUGCAAACCAGUGGAUGAAACCAGGUUUUUAUAGCCACAAGAUAUCUCUUCUGAAAAGUGGAAAAGGUUCAUCUAAAAGGUAUAACCUUUUCUGAAAAUUCAUGUCUAUUCGUCCAAAUAUUGUGACUGUUCUAACAGGCAUGCCAUUUCGUGAAUAAGUGUGUCAGUUCAUUGAAACAAUGCAUCAGUUCUGAAGCAGUGCAUCAGUUCAGUUUCGAAACUGUGCACCAUUUUAGUGUAAAAUUACAUCAGUUUGAAAAUCUAUCUGAAGCAUCUGUUCGAAAUAGCUUAUGCAUGCAUGCUUUCGUAAUGAAAUUAAAAUCAUAUAAAUGGAGUAUUAAACACAGAAAAUAUUUACUGCGUUACUAUUAGUAUUUUCAGAAUUCAACUAAACUUUUGUCCAAAAAAAUAGAUCUCAUCGAUCGAUUAUUUUCCAAAUCUAAAUCCAAAUCCGAAGCUGAGCCGAGCGAGCAACGACGACGACGGCGCGAGGCAUCUCUUAUUUCUUGCCUCACCAUGUGGAGUAAGUGUUCAUCAUUAUAAAUACUCCAAAGUUCCUUUUUCCCACCAAUGUGGGAGAAUUAGUGAACUUUCCAAUUUUAGGAGUACACUUUCCAAAUUGGUGUCUCCUCUUCUCUACCAUUUUUUUCUCCAUUUUCAUUUCACACUUCUAUGAAUCCAACAAUCCCCUACAUGAAUGGGGAAUGGUUAUUUUUCAUAAACUGUUAUGGAAAAGUAUGUGAUCAUUAAGUAAAGACUGAUUGCAUCUGGAUAAGUGGGUUUCCUUUUGAAAUUUCCGUAGUAAACAUGCAUCGGAUGCACUCGGUCAAUCGAUAGAUUUGAUAUCUUUGAACCAUCGAGCUUUAUUGUACACCCCAAUAAUACAUGUCACACAACCAGCCUUUUAACGUUUAUGGUUCUUAUGGUUUUGUUCUUUUCAGCCAUGAACAUGUCCUGGUUUCAUGAGAGCUUAGAGAAUAGGCCUUUACUAACAUUCUCCUUGAAACGGCUUCUACUUCACCCUCGCAUAGGUGAUUUCUAAAUGUUCAAUCCUGUAGAUUAAACUAUUUGGUCAAAUCUACCAAAUUUAGAUAAUCAUUAAAAGACUUUUCACCUUAAGUCUUAUCCUAGUUUACUGCACAUUGUCUACAUCAUGAGAAUGGGUUGGGUAAUUGACAAUGUUGAACCUGCCAGAAACAACUUUGUUUGAUCUCCUUGAACCUAGCUCUUGGGAUCUCCAGUCUGCUAGGUAGAGUUACCGCUAUGCUGACCUGUCCUAGGCCUUAAACCCAUUCCCUUGGAUGUCCUUUCUACUCCUUCUCUAGAUAGGCCUUUUGUAAGUAGAUCCGACACAUUAUCCUUUGACUUUACAUAGUCUAUAGUGAUAAUUCCACUAGAGAGGAGUUCUAUAAUUGUAUUAUGUCUCCAUCAUAUGUGAUGAGAUUUACCGUUGUGCAUCAUGCUCCCUGCCCUACCUAUUGCUGCUUGGCUAUCACAGCGUAUACAUACUGGUGCCAUUGGCUUGGGCCAAUACAAAAUAUCUUCCAAGAAAUUCUAGAGCCAUUCUGCUUCUUCACCGGCUUUAUCUAAUGCGGUAAAAUCAUAUUCCAUUGUAGAGCAAGCGAUACAAGUCUGUUUGGAUGAUUUCUAAGAAACUGCUCCUCCACCGAUAGUAAAUACAUAUCCACUUGUGGAUUUUACUUCAUUCGAUCUGGUGAUCCAAUUUGCAUCACUAUAUCCUUCACGUACCGCAGGAUAUUUAUUACAAUACAAAGAAUAAUCUUGAGUGUAUUUAAGAUACCCCAAAACUCUUUUCAAUACCAUCCAAUGAGUUUUGUUGGGAUUACUCGUGUACCGAAUCAAUUUACUGAUAGCGCAUGCUAUGUCUGGUCUUGUACAAUUCAUUAUAUUCAUUAAAUAUCCCAACACUCUUGCUUACUCCAAUUGCGAAUCACUUUCACCUUCAUUCUUUUGAAUUGCAAAGUUCAUAUCCAAUAGAGUCUUGGCAAUACCAAAUUCCAUAUACUUGAACUUGUCAAAUACUUUUUUGAUAUAAUGAGACUAUGACAAUGCUAAUCCUUGUGGAGUUCGAUGGAUUCUUAUACCUAAGAUCACAUCUGCAACUCCAAGGUCUUUCAUAUCAAACUUGCUCUCGAGCUUUCGUUUUGUUGCAUUUAUGUCAGAAAUGUCUCUACUGAUGAUCAACAUUUCAUCCACAUAUAAACAAACAAUGACUUGGUGAUUUGGUGUGUCUUUAAUAUAUACACAUUUAUCACAUUCAUUUAUCUUGAAUCCGUUUGCCAACAUAGUUUGGUCAAACUUUGUAUGCCAUUUCUUAGGUGCUUGUUUUAGUCCAUAAAGUGACUUAACAAGUUUACACACCUUAUUUUCUUUUCCUGGAACCACAAAACCCUCAGGUUGUUCCAUGUAUAUUUCUUCCUCCAAAUCUCCAUUUAGGAAUGCGGUCUUCAUAUCCAUUUGAUGGAUUUGAAGAUCA